rnacentral:piRNA from 1 species
UAUGCAGCUAGAGACAAGAGCUCU